CCAGAGCAACCAGGCCAGCCAGUGUGGCCAGACCAGCCACACCCCAGGAGUGCUCCCCCUUUCCAGCCGGGAGCCGACCAGCUGUCAGGAUGUCACAGAUCACUUUCCCAGCCUGCUGUGCAGAAGGCAGGCUGGACACGUGACCCAGUGACGUCCAGGUGGGAGUACCUGCUCAGUGAUGCUUUCUCCAGCCAAAAUGGAAACCCGGAGUCCAGCACCAGGAGCUCCAGUGAUCCUGCUAUGUGUGCCUCGAUAAACAAGCACCCACUUUUGAACUUCAUAUAAAUGGAAUGAGUGCUAAGGAGGGAGGAAAGCAAACCGAACCUUAGCGUGCGGUGAAUGAGCAAGAGGCGGAGAGGACUGCAUCAGAAAUACGCACUGUGACAUUUGGAGCCAUGUUCUGCCUCAAAACUAAAGCAUCUGCUGCACCUUCAGUAUUCCCUUAAG